rnacentral:rRNA from 1 species
AUUGAACGCUGGCGGCAGGCCUAACACAUGCAAGUCGAACGGUAACAGGAAACAGCUUGCUGUUUCGCUGACGAGUGGCGGACGGGUGGGUAAUGUCUGGGAAACUGCCUGAUGGAGGGGGAUAACUACUGGAAACGGUAGCUAAUACCGCAUAACGUCGCAAGACCAAAGAGGGGGACCUUCGGGCCUCUUGCCAUCGGAUGUGCCCAGAUGGGAUUAGCUAGUAGGUGGGGUAACGGCUCACCUAGGCGACGAUCCCUAGCUGGUCUGAGAGGAUGACCAGCCACACUGGAACUGAGACACGGUCCAGACUCCUGCGGGAGGCAGCAGUGGGGAAUAUUGCACAAUGGGCGCAAGCCUGAUGCAGCCAUGCCGCGUGUAUGAAGAAGGCCUUCGGGUUGUAAAGUACUUUCAGCGGGGAGGAAGGGAGUAAAGUUAAUACCUUGACUCAUUGACGUUACCCGCAGAAGAAGCACCGGCUAACUCCGUG